GCUAAACUGAUAAGAGUCUCCACCACUUUACCAGAAAAAGGAAAUCCCAUCAACAGCAUCUAGUUUAGGAACUCAAAGAUGUCUUAAUCCAUUGCCUGAGGGAAAAACAACCUUAUCUUCACAAUAGCUAGGCCUCCAAUAGUUUGAGUCUUCAGCAUGUAAAAAUCCCUUUAGGAACUCCUCUUGACUUUAUUUCCCUCUUACUCCAUAAAAUGGUCUUCCCCCAACACUUAUAAAACAGCUCUUUCUGCCCCUGAGUCCUGCGCCUGUGGUUUGACAAAUUCACCUAUUUUCACCAAAGACAUCUUCAAGAAUUCUUUCUUGGCCAUCCACUCUGGACUGACCCCUCAUCACCUCAAAACUUCAUCAUUUGGCCCCCAAUGUGGGGCUUUGAGUCUUUUCAUCAGAAUUCUUAGCUGGUGCAAAUUCAGAGGAGCAUGGGAGCUUCUUCUUCUGUCCCCAAGAAUUCUCUCUUCAGAUGCCAUUUGGCCCACUGGAAACAAUUUGGAUUACAAGAUCUAAAAGAAGAAAAACUAAUCUCCUACUGUAACAAGACAUGGCCUCAGAACCCCUUACAAGACAAGGAAAAGUAUCCCAUUAAUGGACAUUAAGCUUCAAUAUGAUCUUUGGGUUGGAUCUCUUCUGCAAGAAGCAAGGCAGGUGGACUGAAGUCCCCUAUGGCCAGGCUUUUAUGGCUCUAAAUCUUGCAUAAUGUGUCUAAUGACCAACCAGGUUAAUAGACCCCCUUUGGACAUAUUGGAUAAUGACUGUCUAAGUAGGCCCACUCCUCCUAGUAAGCCUUUACUUCUGGGGCAUAGCUAGCUUAUCCAAACAAAGAGGGUGCUGGCUCUGCUACUAUCCCUUCUCCUUAUAGACCCCAAGACUGCUCUGCCCCAAGUACAGCUGGACAUCCUAGGAGCGGAAUCCCCUAUCUUCUGGGAGAUCUACCCAAGUUUGGAGUGCAUCCUCUUAGGGAACUUGCUAAUGGAGAAAUGGGCACAAUUAGAAUCUCCAUGAGCAGGACACCCUUGGAGUCCUCAGGUGGAAUUGGCAGAACCUUCCAUUUCAGUGUCCAACUUUUCCCUCUUCUCUUGGUACUACCCUGAUACUAUAAUAAAAAUAAGAGAAUGAG